UCUGUUCUAAGUCUUCUCUGCUGCGAGGUGGUUCUAUUACCCCACAUUGUCACAGACCCCCUGUCUAUGGAGGAUGUCAGAGGGGUAGGGAAAACACACAGAGGAGAUGGGGCCACAAGCAUGAUGGAUAUGAAGAAAAAGGAUAACUUAUAGGAGUUGGUUCUCUCCCUCUACCACAUGGGUCUCAGGAAUCCAACGCAGGACCAGGCUUGCAUCUGCAUAUGGACCUCCCUGAGAAUCGAGAUACCCUGCUGGUGGUUCUGAAAGAUCGAUAGCGCUCACACAGAUGGGACUGCACAGAACCCCCCAGGAAUCCAGAACAAACUGGGGAC